rnacentral:rRNA from 1 species
UACGGAGGGUGCAAGCGUUAUCCGGAUUCACUGGGUUUAAAGGGUGCGUAGGAGGGCAGGUAAGUCAGUGGUGAAAUCUCCAAGCUUAACUUGGAAACUGCCGUUGAUACUAUCUGUCUUGAAUAUUGUGGAGGUGAGCGGAAUAUGUCAUGUAGCGGUGAAGUGCUUAGAUAUGACAUAGAACACCAAUUGCGAAGGCAGCUCACUACACAAUCAUUGACUCUGAGGCACGAAAGCGUGGGGAUCAAACAGG